GGGCCGUAGCGCAGAGGUCGUCGCGCCGCAUUGCCCAUGCGGAGGACGCCGGUUCGAUCCCGGCCGGUCCGCCA
rnacentral:tRNA from 1 species